CAGAUAAUCACGGCAGCUGUUGGUCAGACUGGCACAAUAACUUCCCCUCCAGCAGAAAAAUACUGCGAAUACCGAAUCCAGGCUCCUUCUGGAAGUCGCGUGAAGGUCAACGAAGUUACAUCAAGGAUUCUAGGGACAACGAACUGUGAAACUGACUGGCUUCUGCUGAACGGGAGGAGUGAGAAGAUGUACCCGUCAGACACCAGCUUAAUUAUCUGCGGCAAUAGGGUAGUGCCUUCACCUCUGAUAUCCCAGACCAAUGAGGUGUACGCAGCUUAUCAAGGCACCAGCAGCAGCAGCCGCGGUUUCACUAUCAAGUAUACCGUCAUCUAAGUCAAACGUUCCUGGAUUUUCUCGCCAAUCACGACUCCAAUGUAUCUAUACGGGCACGAAUUUCAUUUUCUUUACAACAAAGGAGACAGCUCAAGGGCACACAAAAAAGGAAACAAUAAUGAAAAAAAAAGAGCCCGCUUCUCGCUGCUCCUAAAAAAAUGAAUCAAAAGAGGUGGCCGAAAGAGAGGUCAAUUUCGGGAGGAGAAUUCAUUAGUACACCUGCAACCCUUUCAGUUUGCCUCUUGCCCACGAUGUUUCUUUGUUUAAAAGCAUAUCAUUGGUAAGCCAAGUCAGCUGAUAUAACUUAAACGAGGAACAGAUAUCAAGGCUGGUAUUACAAGACACUUUCCCUUCUCACAUCAAGAUAUUUCUAAAGGUCAAAAGGGGAUAUCAAUCAGGCUCUAAUGAGUGUUUUUUAGGCUCAGGGUACAGAAGAAGGGUCAAACUACCACCAGGGUCAUAAAACUAGAACCGGAAAUGCCCACAACUUCUAGGAAAGCCUUGUCAAAUAUGUGUUCUUGGGCGGCGAAAUGUCUUAUAAUGCGAGCCUAAGCAUCCUUAUAGUGUUCUACAAUAGCCGCCCCAAGAAAAUAAAUAUAUGCAGCAG